CUUUCUCUGAUUGAUUGAUUCGCUUCACAAUAGUGCUCUUUUCUCCAUCUCCCCCUUCAAUUCUAGAUGUGAAGACGGGUCUUGGUGUUGAAGAACAACCUCCUUGCUCUCGCUUUCACCUUCUUCAUCUUCGUCCUCUCUCUCUUUGCUCUCGGCUCAAUCACCUAUAGUUUCUUCCACGGCUUCUAUGGCCACCUGGUCAAGUUCAUAGUAGCUGUCCAAUCCGUCAAGGUUUCGUUCUGGCCAAUAUUGGCUCAGUUUCAAAGCUGGUUUUGGAUGGGGCCACUGAUAGGCGGAAGAAUUGGAAGAGUUUGGCAUUUACUCCUUCAGCUCCGGCUUUGGUUGUGUAGGUGGUGGAUGCGUUGAAGUAAAAUUACAAGUUCUAUCAGGAGAAAAAAUUGAACUCUGGUUCUUUACUCCUAAUGGAAGCUCUAGUACUAGACGGUAUGUUCGAAUUUGGUAUUACAGAUCAAAUCCACAGUGUGAGGCGUCAACCACCCAAUUAUUCCCUCUCAGUGAUGGCUUCGCCGACAACCUGAUCUUCUCUAGCAUCUUCUCUGCUUCGAUUUCAAUCAUGGCUUCGCCGGCAACCCGAUCUUCUCUAGCAUCUUCUCUGCUUCAAUUUCAAUCAUGGCUUCGCCAGCAACCCGAUCUUCUCCAAACAUCUUCUCUGCUUCGAUUUCAAUCAAAAAUCCCAAUACCCACAAUCCAAAAAAUCAAAUUCAAUUAUUUGCAGCUGAAAUCAAUUUCAAUUUUUCUAUUUUUGAUGGGUUUGGGAGAAGAGAACAGAGAAGAAGGAAAGAAAAGUCCUGAUUAGGUAGAUGCAUGUGGAGAUUUUGGUAGCUGUAACAGCAAAAAUGGUUUGGUUUGCAAUUGUUUGCUCGUUUUAAGCCUAGUUCACCGGAUAAUUGAAAUCAUGGAGAUUAUUCGGGUGGAUGCACAAGGAAAUUUCGAUUCUUUAGGUCGGAAUCCAACGAGCCUGAUAGCAAGGGAAUCUGAAAUUUCAGUAAUUCCACUUUGGGUCAAGUCUGGGUUUGAUCUCUGUUGGAAAUGGAACUGCGAAGCAAUUCCGAUCUCUGUCGAAAUGGUACAUCGUAGUUUGGGCAAUCUGCUGGUCAGCCUUGAUGUGGGACCCAAAGUCAGGUUCUGGGAUGUCGGAGGACGUUUCCGAAUUCAGGUCGUCGAUGUUGAUGAAGGUCGGGUUCCGAUCAAGUAUGGGUCUGAGCAUGGCUAUUGCACGUUCUUGGAAUCAUGAAAGUGGCUGUUGGCGGUGGUCUGGCAUUGUACACCGAUCUUCCUGAGUUCUUCUGGAUACGGUAUACGAGUAUUUGGAUCUAGUAUACCAUUUUGAUAUUGGUAUUUGAAUCUCGUAUUAGGCAUGGUA